GCUGGGCACAGUGGCGCAUGCCUGUAAUCCCAGCCGCUCGGGAGGCUGAGGCAGGAGGAUCAAGACUUCAAAGCCAGCCUCAGCAAAAGUGAGGCACUAAGAAACUCAAUGAGACCCUGUCUCUA
rnacentral:sRNA from 1 species